UGUCUAGUCCCUCCGUCCCGAAUUACUUGUUUUAGAUUUGUCUAGAUAUGGAUGGAUGUAGACAUGUUUUAGUGUUAGAUACAUUUGUAUCUAGACAAAUAUAAGACAAGUAGUUUGGAAUGGUGGGAAUAUUUU
rnacentral:pre_miRNA from 1 species